GACCGAGCGACGCCGCGAUGCAAGGAUGAAGGCCCUCGGGGUCGCUAAACUUCUAAAAGAGGGACGAUAGGUGACGGUACCUCUUGAAAAGCACCGGCUAACUCCGUGCCAGCAGCCGCGGUAAUACGGAGGGUGCAAGCGUUAUCCGGAAUCACUGGGCGUAAAGGGCGCGUAGGCGGUCUGUUAAGUCCGAUGUUAAAGACUGGGGCUCAACCCCAGCAUUGCGUUGGAUACUGGCAGGCUUGACGGUUGGAGAGGCGAGUGGAAUUACCAGUGUAGCGGUGAAAUGCGUAGAUACUGGUAGGAACACCCAUUGCGAAGGCAGCUCGCUGGACAACACGUGACGCUGAGGCGCGAAAGUGUGGGGAGCAAACCGGAUUAGAUACCCGGGUAGUCCACACCCUAAACGAUGCACACUUGGUGUUGGCCCGUUGGGGUCAGCGCCNGAGCUAACGCGUUAAGUGUGCCGCCUGGGAAGUACGGCCGCAAGGUUG
rnacentral:rRNA from 1 species